UGGAGUCUGCAACCCGACUCCAUGAAGCUGGAUUCGCUAGUAAUCGCGCAUCAGCCACGGCGCGGUGAAUACGUUCCCGGGCCUUGUACACACCGCCCGUCAAGCCAUGGAAGCCGGGGGUGCCUGAAGUGCGCUGCCGCGAGGAGCGCCCUAGGGUAAAACCGGUGACUGGGGCUAAGUCGUAACAAGGUAAC
rnacentral:rRNA from 1 species